rnacentral:rRNA from 1 species
AACGAACGCUGGCGGCAUGCCUAACACAUGCAAGUCGAACGAAACCUUCGGGUCUUGUGGCGCACGGGUGCGUAACGCGUGGGAACCUGCCCUUAGGUUCGGAAUACCUCCCCGAAAGGGGUGCUAAUACCGGAUAAUGUCUUAGGACCAAAGAUUUAUUGCCUUUGGAUGGGCCCGCGUUGGAUUAGCUGGUUGGUAGGGGAAAAGCCUACCAAGGCGCCGAUCCAUAGCUGGUCUGAGAGGAUGAUCAGCCACACUGGGACUGAGACACGGCCCAGACUCCUACGGGAGGCAGCAGUGGGUAAUAUUGGACAAUGGGCGAAAGCCUGAUCCAGCAAUGCCGGGUGAGUGAUGAAGGCCUUAGGGAUGUAAAGCUCUAUUACCCGGGAUGAUAAUGACGGUACCGGGUGAAUAAGCUCCGGCUAACUCCGUG